rnacentral:lncRNA from 1 species
GGUUUUUUGUUUAAUGGGUAAGAAAUUAGAAUUGUCCUGUGUAUAGAGGGCAGCCUUGAGUACAUGUGUUCUCUUUAUUUUGAACCAUUUCCUUUUAGUCUUUAACUUAUGAUAAGGUAAUCUGUUUAUUCCACCUGUCCACAGACUGAGGAACUAGGCAGGCCCUGUGCAACUGCAGAUCUCAGCAAUAGUCCCUUCUGUGACCAGGUUAGCACUAUUGAACCAGAGAUUCCUGCUAGCCAACUGCUUUGGUGCAGAAUAACAGCAGCACACCUUCCCAACCAAAAAGCCUGAGAGUGAACAUUCUAGUAGCCAUAGGUGCUAUUAACUGGGCUACCUAAAAUUCUAAGCUGGAUUGAUAGGUCAGGUAAGGUUUCUCUCCCACUGAAGCUAGCCAGGAAAGAUUGGGAAAAAUAGCUUUGUCUUCAUAUGUAUAGACAACAAAGUUCAAGCAUAAAGAUUCAAGGAAAUGUCACACCACCCAAAAAAAUGGGAAAGGAUGUGUAAUCAAGACAGAAAUAAAUAUUUCUAAAGAAUUCAAUAUAAUCUAAUUUAAAAAGAUAAAUGGUUAAAAAAAAACCUAAAUACUAACAAAAUGAAAUAAAAUUAAGCCACAAAGAAAUAAAGACAUUUUUUUCGAUAUUACAGCUAAAGAAUAUAAUGACUGAAAUGACAAACGUUUUAAAUGAACUUCAAAAGAAAGAAAACUCAACCAAUAACAGUAUACCUAGACAAACUGUGUUUCAUAAAUGGAGAAGAGAUUAAGAGUCUGCCCUCAUAGAGAAAGCAAAGAAAGACUGAAAAGUCCAUUGCUAGGAAUGGACUUUUAUUGCUAGGAAUCAAGCUUUACAAAGAAUAAAAAUUGUCACCAAUUUGAAACAAACCAUGGUCAGUAACAUGACAGAAAGCAAAUAUCACUAAAGUCAAAGAGUAAAUGUGUUGAGAAGAUGACACAGAAUCCAUUACUGGAUACUCAUAGAGAAGGCAAGAGUCUGGUGUCAGUGACUUAAAGGAUGGUUGAAGUGGGAAUUUCUGGUUUCGUUGGUUGGAGGCUCAGUUCUCAUGUGAUGUUUUUCUGGAAACUGCCUUAUAAGAGGAUGUUUUGCUGGGAACAGAUACAUGGUGUUCUUCUGGAAACUAUGUGGUGAAAGGGCAUGUGAUGUUUUGCUUGAGAGGGUACAUGAUGUUUGGAAAGAGUGUAAGUGUAAUUCAACAGACAGUGGACAACUCUCUGACAUUGGUUCACCUUGCUGGUCUUUGUUGGGCUUCGCUGACGAUGCUCUUCACUAAAAAAUCUCUUGCAUUGGUUCGCCUUGCUUUCUUCUCUGAUCUUCACUUGGAGUGACUUCAUAGAGAGAAAUGCACCAAAGAACAUCUGGUAGUGUUCCAGCUGCUUCUUGCCACUUUGGUGGACUUGUGCUGAUCAGCAGAGCCCUGUGGUUUCUUUUAAGCUGCUGCUGCUGAUUCAUUUUUGGUGUUUAGCUAGUAGACUGGAUGGCAGACAGCAAAGAUUGGAAUCACCCCAAGAAACAACUUCUUAACAGGCCCAUGUCCCCCUUGUCCUAUCAGCCGUUUUCCUCCCCUAUCUCUGGUUGGUGGGCUAUAAUGGAGGUUGAAGCAUUUAAGAACCCUUAUUAAAGUAGGUUUUCUAAAAUUCAAGCCAACAGAUGGUAGAAGUCCAUAAUUUCAUAUGAGAUCGAAAUUAACUUGCCAUAAACUCAAAAUAGAUGUUCAUUAGAGUUUUGAAGCAAUAUUUCUGGUAGCAAUGAAAGGAAGGGUCUUACAACAGAAAUGUAAUUGCAGAAAGAUAAGAAUAAGAGCCUGCCACCCGCGCACACACACAUGCAAAGAAGGAAGAAAGAAAUCCUCAAAUCAUUGUGAGACACAACAAAGAAAUAGGAAAGCAAGC